UACGGAGGGUGCAAGCGUUGUUCGGAUUCACUGGGCGUAAAGGGUGCGCAGGUGGUUUGGCAAGUUCGAUGUGAAAGCCCCGGGCUUAACCCGGGAAUGGCAUUGAAAACUGCUGGACUGGAGGAUCGGAGGGGGGACUGGAAUUCUUGGUGUAGCAGUGAAAUGCGUAGAUAUCAAGAGGAACACCAGUGGCGAAGGCGAGUCCCUGGACGAUACCUGACACUGAGGCACGAAAGCCAAGGGAGCAAACAGG
rnacentral:rRNA from 1 species